rnacentral:rRNA from 1 species
GACGAACGCUGGCGGCGUGCCUAAUACAUGCAAGUAGAACGCUGAAACUUGGUGCUUGCACCGAGCGGAUGAGUUGCGAACGGGUGAGUGACGCGUAGGUAACCUGCCUGGUAGCGGGGGAUAACUAUUGGAAACGAUAGCUAAUACCGCAUAAGAGUAGAUGUUGCAUGACAUUUGCUUAAAGGUGCAAUUGCACCACUACCAGAUGGACCUGCGUUGUAUUAGCUAGUUGGUGGGGUAACGGCUCACCAAGGCGACGAUACAUAGCCGACCUGAGAGGGUGAUCGGCCACACUGGGACUGAGACACGGCCCAGACUCCUACGGGAGGCAGCAGUAGGGAAUCUUCGGCAAUGGACGGAAGUCUGACCGAGCAACGCCGCGUGAGUGAAGAAGGUUUUCGGAUCGUAAAGCUCUGUUGUAAGAGAAGAACGAGUGUGAGAGUGGAAAGUUCACACUGUGACGGUAUCUUACCAGAAAGGGACGGCUAACUACGUG